rnacentral:rRNA from 1 species
CUACGGGCUGCUCCAGUGAGGAAUAUUGCACAAUGGAGGAAACUCUGAUGCAGCAACGCCGCGUGGAGGAUGACGCAUUUCGGUGUGUAAACUCCUUUUAUAUGUCAAGAAAAUGACGGUAGCAUAUGAAUAAGCACCGGCUAACUCCGUGCCAGCAGCCGCGGUAAUACGGAGGGUGCAAGCGUUACUCGGAAUCACUGGGCGUAAAGGACGCGUAGGCGGGAUAUCAAGUCAGGUGUGAAAUCCUACAGCUUAACUGUAGAACUGCACUUGAAACUGGUAACCUAGAGUAUGGGAGGGGGAGAUGGAAUUAGUGGUGUGGGGGUAAAAUCCGUAGAUAUCACUAGGAAUACCUAAAGCGAAGGCGAUCUCCUGGAACAUAACUGACGCUAAGGCGUGAAAGCGUGGGGAGCAAACAGGAUUAGAUACCCCUGUAGUC